CCAGGGCCAGUGCCACCCUCGGGCCUUCAGCCUCCAACUGUAAUUUGUAGCGUGGGUUCCCUUCCCUAGCAUGGGCCAUGACCUUUGAAAUUAGAAUGAACUGUGCCACCAUCUCUCCAGUUCCCUAGGUUGCAAGAGAGCCCUGCAAGGAACUUCUCGUACUGUAGAAGAGAUGAACUAAUUCCCUAUUCCAGGUCUCCAGGUUCCUGUCGUGAAGUCCUUCUGUGCUUUCUCCGGGUGAUGGACUGCAACCUCUAACAAAAAGACCCCUGCUGUGCAAACGCUCCUGUCUUCCCACCCGUUUGGAGCCCAAAGAAACCCGGAAAAGUCUUGCCAAAUGGUAUCGCUUUGGAUAUGAAGCCUGGAGGUGAAGGAAGUGAGGGAAUGAACAGUUCAUUCAGCCUGGCUCAGUAGCUUCGGGGACACGUUUGGAUCAGUGAAAUUGGUAUGUGACAAUCCUUGAAAGAUUUGAUUUUACAAAUUAAAAUAAGUUUAGAUGUUUCUUUGAACAAUUCAGAGAGUGAUCCAGAGAUGACUUCCUAUCUGCACAGAAAUUAAAAGGUACCACUAUGUGUGGCGAUAUUUUGUUUGUUUCUGAUAAAUAAAG